rnacentral:rRNA from 1 species
UAGGGAAUAUUGGUAAUCUGGGAAACCGGGAACCAGCAACGCCGCGUGUGCGAUGAAGGCCUUCGGGUUGUAAAGCACUUUUUGAGGGAAUGAAAAGGACAGUACCCUCAGAAUGAGUCUCGGCUAACUACGUGCCAGCAGCCGCGGUAAGACGUAGGAGACGAGCGUUAUUCGGAUUUACUGGGCGUAAAGCGCGUGCAGGCGGUUUGGUAAGUUGGAUGUGAAAGCUCCUGGCUCAACUGGGAGAGGU